GUGAUGGCUUGGUGGUCGUAUGUAUGACGUCAUUUACUUGUACUUUUAGGAGUGACAUCUUAUGUACGGCUGCUAAACUGCCACAUG
rnacentral:pre_miRNA from 1 species